rnacentral:lncRNA from 1 species
AUGAUUCUGAUGAGCAGGGUAAAGACGUGGAAAGCUCAGAUGGUAGCAAGACGACGCCUUCCCCCAUGCGUUUGGGUCGGUCUAAGAAUACCAUGGUUGGCUGAAGUUUGUCCGUUGUGGGGAACUACAUUGGAUAAGUGGUUACCUGCUUCAUUGGCCAUAGCCAAAGUGCAUUACCCCAGAAAAAUUCUCUACUUUUGUAGAAAGUGUGCGGGGGGGUAUAGCACACUGGCAAAGGUAACUCGUCACACUCCCAAGUGUGGCACUAAACUGGGAGUCACUAAGUUAGGAACUUCCUUCACAUGUUCCCAUUGUCCUGGAAAGUUUGGCUCACAGCGCGGGCUGUCGAACCAUAAAAGGGCCAAGCAUACGACGAUUUACAUGAAUGAGGUGCGGACGUCAGUCAAGGAUACAACUGUCUGGAACCCCAGGGAAUUGGAAUGUUUGGAGGAGUUGCGCAGAGAAAAAGGGGGCAAACCUGGAUUCUACGUGGCUGCGUUGAGACGGUUGCCCCAAUUUGACAAGGCUCAAAUCAGGAACAGAUGCAGACCGUUGGCUACGACUGCACGUCUUAUGAAGGCCAAGACCUCCAUCUCCAACUCACCAGAGGUGCCAAAAGACCUUAAGUAUCUCAGGGCUGUCCUACCUGUGAUAGCAAAUGUGGAAUUUGUUAAUAAGAACUGGACUAACGUGUUGGAGGGAAUGCAGACAGUGAGGGGAGGGCUCUCCCCCCUGGAAGUCAAUUCAAGGGACACAUGCUGCUACGUCAAGAGGGCAAUCAAACAGAUGCGGGGGUGUACGGCCGGCACUUUGAUGAACUCGAAGCUGGUUGACAAGCCAAAGUGCUCAAAAAGAGUACAUGCUCUCAAGAAAAAACAUAAUUACAAGAUUUUACAAUCAUUGUACAGCAGAAACCAUGCAGAUGCGGCUAAAAUUAUACUUGACGGGAAGGUGAAAACUGCCUGUCGGGUUGAUGCCAAGAUGGUUGAAAGGGCUUACUGUGAGAUUUGGGGUGGCACAGAUGGCUUCAUAUCGUUGGGACAAUUUGGUAAUCUUCCCUCGGUGGAUAACAAUCUAUUCUUUGGGCUAAUAACCCCCAAGAAGCCCUGA